rnacentral:rRNA from 1 species
UACGUAGGUGGCAAGCGUUGUCCGGAUUUACUGGGCGUAAAGAGCGCGCAGGCGGUCGUUCAAGUCGCGUGUGAAAGCCCCCGGCUCAACUGGGGAGGGUCACGCGAUACUGAUCGACUCGAAGGCAGGAGAGGGAAGUGGAAUUCCCGGUGUAGUGGUGAAAUGCGUAGAUAUCAGGAGGAACACCAAUGGCGAAGGCAGCUCGCUGGGACGGUACUGACGCUGAGGCGCGAAAGCGUGGGGAGCAAACAGG